rnacentral:lncRNA from 1 species
AAACAAAAGACAAUCAACAACCUGUAAGAUACCCUGAUGCAUAAGGACUCACAACAGAGCACUUCCUUCAGAAGACCUCUGGUUUCUGACUCCAGGAAUCUGACUUCUGCUCCACAGCCACUCCAAGAUGACCCACAUCAUGCCUGGAGAGAAACUUUCCUACGCCAGAGUCUGGAAAAGCUGGAAGUAGACCUUCUGUCCAUCCCCUGGAGCUUGGCCUCUGAAGUCCCUGAGUGUCUUUAAUGUGCUGGUGUAUACAUUAGGGCAGCCUUUUCAAAUGUCAACUGGAAUUGACUUUGCAUCUCUUCUUUCUACUGCAAACUCCUUCAUCACAUUCAUCUGGUACUCGGCACUAGCUACCUGCGAGACAGUGGUCAGCUGUUCAUCAUUUUCUCUUCUUCCUGCACAUGUGGACAGAUGGCAUUUUCUAGACCUCUUUGCAGAUAUGUGAGGCUAUGACUGAGUUCCAGCCAAGAAGAUGCUAGCAGAGGUGAUGUAUACUUCUUCCAGACCUGGUCCAGGAAAACCUCCCUGGCAACAUCCUCCUUGCUGUCAUUCUACUUCUGGCUUAAUGCAGGCAUACCUGGCAAUCUUGGAGACCAUUUUUUCAAGAUGAUGAGGUUCAGAGAUGGGAGUCAAGAGUCUUAAUCUUCCCUUAGAGUAGAGCUGCUUGUCAGUUGGAGUAUCUGCACUGGACUUUCCAAGAGUAAGAAUUCCACCUCCAUCAUGAUUGAGCUGUCAUAUACUCCAGAGCAUGUUUGUUCCAUCAGCUAGCAUGCCUCAUGCACCACUAAUGAAGUGAGCUUUUCUGGGGCAGAGGCCCUGCUGAAAGGACUUCCUCCACCGGUGUUGUGUGUAAUCGUCCCUGCUGAGAUACGGAUUUGGAGGAGGAUUUGAUAAACCAAAGAGCAUAAACUUACUAUUUCAUUGUCAUGUUGUGACAGAUGCAUACCCUCUACACUAAAAGCUAGACCUGAAGUCACAAAAUUAGAAUUCCAUUUCAUAUUUCUCAACAUAGAAUACAUGGUUAAUCUACGGAUCCAUGUGAUAAAGAAAUCAGAGUGGAGAGUAAAUAUUUUCUAUCAUAGAGUACCUAAUAAGCAUAUUUGUAUCCUAAUUUUGUGGAUGAUUGAAAUGCAUUUUCUCGCCUAUGUGUCUCUCUUCUAUUAAUUUCUUCAUUAAUUUAAUACAUAUAUUUUGAGCACCUACUAUGUGCUACAGAGUGUUUAGGGCUCUGGAGAUAUACCACUUAAGCAAAAGUAUUCACUCACAUAGGGCUUACAUGCUAUAGCACACAAUGAAACCCAAACACGUGAAAAUGUGUGACGCUAAAUGCCAAUACGCUCUCUGAAGAAAGCCUAAGGAGGCAGCAGCUUUAUGGAGAAGGCACAUUGGAGCAGUGCCCUGGAAGGAAUGAAGGGCCUGAGCCAUAUGAACUUCCAGGGGAAGAGUAUUCCAGGCAGGAAUCACAGCAGGUGCAAAGCCCCUGUGGUGAGAGCCUACACAGCAUGCUUAAGUAGGAGUAGGGAGGUCAGUGUCAUGCAGCAGAUUGAGCGAGGUGGUAGCAUGAUGUGAAGUUGGGAGAUCAGGUUGGAUUAAUAAAUGGGCAAGAGCAGCAGAUGAUGCA